AGUUCAGCGGUAGAAUACAACCUUGCCAAGGUUGGGGUCGCGGGUUCGAAUCCCGUCUUCUGCUCCA
rnacentral:tRNA from 1 species